rnacentral:misc_RNA from 1 species
AAGUCGUAACAAGGUUUCCGUAGGUGAACCUGCGGAAGGAUCAUUAACGUAUCUCUGACGGUGAGGGCGCGCCCUGCUCCGGGAACCGAAAGGCCCUGUGCAGCGGGUGAGCCCUCGCCGCUCAACCCUUGCAAACCCACUGUGCACAUUUGUCGGCGGAGGGCCCAGUCAAUGGGCCCCGAGCCGGACCCACAAACUCCAAGCAUUAAAAGAAUGACUAGCGGACGUUGUGCCGUCUAAACUUUAACAACUUUCAACAACGGAUCUCUUGGCUCUC